rnacentral:rRNA from 1 species
GGCAGGCUAUUCAUGCAAGUCGAGCGCCCCGCAAGGGGAGCGGCAGACGGGUGAGUAACGCGUGGGAAUCUACCUUUUGCUACGGAAUAACUCAGGGAAACUUGUGCUAAUACCGUAUGUGCCCUUCGGGGGAAAGAUUUAUCGGCAAAAGGGAUGAGCCCGCGUUGGAUUAGCUAGUUGGUGGGGUAAAGGCCCACCAAGGCGACGAUCUAGCUGGUCUGAGAGGAUGAUCAGCCACACUGGGACUGAGACACGGCAAAGACUCCUACGGGAGGCAGCAGCAUGGGGAAUAUUGGACAAUGGGCGCAAGCCUGAUCCAGCCAUGCCGCGUGAGUGAUGAAGGCCCUAGGUGUAAAGCUCUUUCACCGGUUUGAAGAUAAUGACGGUAACCGGAGAAGAAGCCCCGGCUAACUUCGUGCCCAGCCGCGGUAAUACGAAGGGGGCUAGCGUUGUUCGGAUUUACUGGGCGUAAAGCGCACGUAGGCGGACUUUUAAGUCAGGGGUGAAAUCCCAGAGCUCAACUCUGGAACUGCCUUUGAUACUGGAAGUCUUGAGUAUGGUAGAGGUGAGUGGAAUUCCGAGUGUAGAGGUGAAAUUCGUAGAUAUUCGGAGGAACACC